rnacentral:snoRNA from 1 species
AUGGCAGUGAUGAUUGGCGCAGGGGUACGGACCUCAGCUGGAUCAUGGGAGCUGAAUGCAAACUGGUAACUCCAGUGCAGUUGGCAUGUGGCUGGCUCUCUGGAAACAGGUUUGCAUGAGACUUUGCCAAAAACUGAGCCAU